GACGAACGCUGGCGGCGUGCUUAACACAUGCAAGUCGAGCGGAAAGGCUCCUUCGGGGGUACUCGAGCGGCGAACGGGUGAGUAACACGUGAGUAAUCUGCCCUCCACUUCGGGAUAGCCCUGGGAAACUGGGAUUAAUACCGGAUGCGACCAAUGCCUGCAUGGGUUGUUGGUGGAAAGUUUUUUCGGUGGGGGAUGUGCUCGCGGCCUAUCAGCUUGUUGGUGGGGUAAUGGCCUACCAAGGCUUCGACGGGUAGCCGGCCUGAGAGGGUGACCGGCCACACUGGGACUGAGACACGGCCCAGACUCCUACGGGAGGCAGCAGUGGGGAAUAUUGGACAAUGGGCGGAAGCCUGAUCCAGCAACGCCGCGUGAGGGAUGACGGCCUUCGGGUUGUAAACCUCUUUCAGCGGGGACGAAGCGCAAGUGACGGUACCCGCAGAAGAAGCACCGGCCAACUACGUGCCAGCCGCCGCUGUAAAAC
rnacentral:rRNA from 1 species